GAUGAACGCUGGCGGCGUGCCUAAUACAUGCAAGUCGAGCGAACGGACGAGAAGCUUGCUUCUCUGAUGUUAGCGGCGGACGGGUGAGUAACACGUGGAUAACCUACCUAUAAGACUGGGAUAACUUCGGGAAACCGUAGCUAAUACCGGAUAAUAUUUUGAACCGCAUGGUUCAAAAGUGAAAGACGGUCUUGCUGUCACUUAUAGAUGGAUCCGCGCUGCAUUAGCUAGUUGGUAAGGUAACGGCUUACCAAGGCAACGAUGCAUAGCCGACCUGAGAGGGUGAUCGGCCACACUGGAACUGAGACACGGUCCAGACUCCUACGGGAGGCAGCAGUAGGGAAUCUUCCGCAGUGGGCGAAAACCUGACGGAGCAACGCCGCGUGAGUGAUGAAGGUCUUCGGAUCGUAAAACUCUGUUAUUAGGGAAGAACAUAUGUGUAAGUAACUGUGCACAUCUUGACGGUACCUAAUCAGAAAGCCACGGCUAACUACGUG
rnacentral:rRNA from 1 species